rnacentral:rRNA from 1 species
GAUGAACGCUGGCGGCGUGCCUAAUACAUGCAAGUCGAGCGAACAGACGAGGAGCUUGCUCCUCUGACGUUAGCGGCGGACGGGUGAGUAACACGUGGAUAACCUACCUAUAAGACUGGGAUAACUUCGGGAAACCGGAGCUAAUACCGGAUAAUAUAUUGAACCGCAUGGUUUAAUAGUGAAAGACGGUUUUGCUGUCACUUAUAGAUGGAUCCGCGCCGCAUUAGCUAGUUGGUAAGGUAACGGCUUACCAAGGCAACGAUGCGUAGCCGACCUGAGAGGGUGAUCGGCCACACUGGAACUGAGACACGGUCCAGACUCCUACGGGAGGCAGCAGUAGGGAAUCUUCCGCAAAGGGCGAAAGCCUGACGGAGCAACGCCGCGUGAGUGAUGAAGGUCUUCGGAUCGUAAAACUCUGUUAUUAGGGAAGAACAAAUGUGUAAGUAACUAUGCACGUCUUGACGGUACCUAAUCAGAAAGCCACGGCUAACUACGUG